UACGUAGGGGGCAAGCGUUAUCCGGAAUUACUGGGUGUAAAGGGAGCGUAGACGGCGAUGCAAGUCUGAAGUGAAAGGCGGGGGCCCAACCCCCGGACUGCUUUGGAAACUGUUUAACUGGAGUGUCGGAGAGGCAAGUGGAAUUCCUAGUGUAGCGGUGAAAUGCGUAGAUAUUAGGAGGAACACCAGUGGCGAAGGCGGCUUGCUGGACGAUGACUGACGCUGAGGCUCGAAAGCGUGGGGAGCAAACAGG
rnacentral:rRNA from 1 species